rnacentral:lncRNA from 1 species
GCCUCGCCUCCCUAGCCAAGAGUUGUUAGUGUUUUUAAAAGCAAUAUACAAGCACGCUCCAUGUAUAUAAAAAGUGUAAAUUCAAAUGUUGAUAUAUUGGUAAUUGUAGACCGCUUACUACUAACCCUGAUAAUUUCAUAAAGAUAUACCACAGGCUCUAUACUAAAGUUUUCCUAAAAUAAAGUGGGAUAGAGAAAAAAAAUUGAGAAGAAGCAAAUAUCAAAAAAAUUGCUUGUAAAAGGUAUCUCCGUGAAAGGCGACAUAAAAAACUAAAUUACGAUAAUGACAUCCUCAUGUGAAAUCAGACUCUAUACUUUGACAGCUUGUAGUGUGUAGCCCGUAGCGAUAAUUCUGGUUGUUAUAUACGAAAGCAAAACACUUGAAGAUAUUGACCUAAAGUGAAUGAGCUAUUGAAAAAAUAUCGAAAAUAAAUAAAAACAAUAUACUAGGUUAAUUACUUCAAGCUAUACAUAUCUUGGUAUUAUAUUCGCUUGAAAAUGGUGCAGAAAAUUGUAUACAUAAAUAUGUUUGUGUUAUAGAGUUCUAAUGGUAAUAUUUAUUGAAAUAUUUAUCGUGUGAUUCAGCUUGUUCAUUGACACUAAUAAGUGGAAAAUAGCCAAGGACUAUGUUUUGUAUAUGUUUAGUCAAUGUCUGUGAAUGGGUGAAUAUUUACACGUGUGUUUAUGACGAAGUGUAAAAAACUAUAUAUGGGAGUUUAUUGACCACAGGCAUCUUUAUCUUCAAAGGAGCUGCGAUAAUUACGGAAACGUUCGUGAGGCUUAGGAGCUGCGUCACCAACGCAUGACACCAAUAUAGACUUUUGUAUAUGUGGUUUUGCUUACAAUAUUUUGCAGAUUUUUGAAAAUGAAUUUAUUGCUAUAUUAUUAAUUCUUUGUAUGAUAUAUAAACCAUGUACCUGAUCUAUGUAAAAAUAUUAAAAUAUAGACUGAAUCUUAAAACAUU